rnacentral:rRNA from 1 species
GAUGAACGCUGGCGGCGUGCCUAACACAUGCAAGUCGAGCGAACAGAUAAGGAGUUUUCUCCUUUGACGUUAGCGGCGGACGGGUGAGUCACACGUGGGUAACCUACCUAUAAGACUGGGAUAACUUCGCGAAACCGGAGCUAAUACCGGAUAACAUUUGGAACCUCAUGGUUCUAAAGUGAAAGAUGGUUUUGCUAUCACUUAUAGAUGGACCCGCGCCGUAUUAGCUAGUUGGUAAGGUAACGGCUUACCAAGGCUACGAUACGUAGCCGACCUGAGAGGGUGAUCAGCCACACUGGAACUGAGACACGGUCCAGACUCCUACGGGAGGCAGCAGUAGGGAAUCUUCCGCAAUGGGCGAAAGCCUGACAGAGCAACGCCGCGUGAGUGAUGAAGGGUUUCGGAUCGUAAAGCUCUGUAAGUAGGGAGGAAGAAAAGUGUAAGUAACUGUGCACGUCUUGACGGUACCUAAAGAAUAAGCCACGGCUAACUACGUG